GUUGUGGCUCAGCGGUAGAGCACUCGCCUAUUGUGUGUGAGGCCUUGGGUUCGAUCCUCAACAUCACA
rnacentral:tRNA from 1 species